UUCUCGGAUUCGCAAACAUCGGAGACGACGCGAUCGGAGGUUGCGGUCGGAUACUUCCUGCUGCCAUUCCAAAACAGAGGACAGAUAUCCUCUGCAUAAGUCUGUGGUUCAUCAGGCUUUUAGAGACCUAGCAGCUGUUGAAGAGGAAGCCAGAGCAGCCCUGAGCCACACGGACACCAGACCACCAACCAAAUCUGUUUGUACCGCGGCUCCAAAAUAUCGCUCCGUCCUCUCGGCCAGCGCCGAGGAAAUCUUGAUUGAUUUUGCCCUCAAAUCCUGGAAAAGUGCUUUUCAACGGAAGCAGAGCUCAAAAUUUGCCAAACUGCAGAGAAGGUCCGCAUGAUUAUGAUUCUGGUAAUGACACAUCUUCACCUCCAUCAAGCAAAACCGGUGUUUCCCAAGGGAGCGCCGCUGAGUAUGCCAGGACCGGACGUGUGGCCUCGGCGUUCAGAGACAGCGCCUCGGAUUCAGGGAACUCUGUGACCAGCUUUGCAUCUUCCUGCAAACCUUUCGGGGAAACCAGCCUGUCUGCAACCCUCUGCAAUCAAAUCAGGAACAGGGAGCAGAUAACCUUGGGGUGUCACGUAGAGGUUGUCGGAUCGUCUGAGUCAACCAGCUGUGAAUCGAGGAGGAGGAGGGGUUCGUCUCGGACAAAAGGUCGCUCUUCCACCAGCAGGAGCAGAUCCUCAGGGAGUUCCAAAUACUUGGGACGCUAUUCCAGAAGCUCCUCGUUGUCUUCUCGCAGCUCGUACUCACGAUCCCCCAGUCACUCAGAUGUCAGGCGAAGAGGCAGCAUGAGCAGCCUGAGCUCCAGAGGAAGCUACUCCAGACACAGUGAUGACAGACUUUCAGACAGAAAGAGACGAGCAGACUCCAGAGAGACAGACGCAAAGCAAGGCCGCAAAGUCAGGAAGCGAGGAAGGCGCAAAUCCUACACUCCCAUGAGGAAGAGGAGGAGGGACUCGCCGAGUCAUCUAGAAGCUCGGCGCAUCACAAGUGCGAGGAAGAGGCCCAUUCCUUAUUUCCGGCCAAGCCCCCCCUCCAGCAUUCGUUCCACCAGCGUGUCGUCCUGGAGCAGCAUCUUCACCCGCAGUCGAAGCCCCAUCCACAGCAUCAGCCGCAGUCGCAGCCACAGCUUCUCCUCCUACAGGAGCUACAGUCGCAGCUCAUCCUGGAACUCCACCUGCGGGAGCCGCAGUCGCAGUCGCAGCCGCAGCCGCAGUUUGCUCAUCAAACGCAGGAAAACGAGGCAUUAG
rnacentral:lncRNA from 1 species